rnacentral:lncRNA from 10 species
GGGUCCUCCUCGAGAGAACAUGAUGUGUAGAGGUCUUCUACAGUUGGACCUUGUAGAUGAAAUUGUAAGAGUGAUCCUGAUACCUAAGAAGUAGACAUUUAUGAGUAAUCGAUGUGUAUUGAAGGCUCUGUAUAUCUUCAUAGUGUGGAGAGUUCUAGAUGGACCCAGAAUUGCAGAGAGACAAGGUCAGGGGAAGGAGCCGGGAAAGAGGUUAACAAGACCACAGAUGCUGCAGAUGGGACUCACACGAAGAUGUCCUUCCCACCAGCCAGGCCAUCGCUGGCUUUGUAAGACGCAGCCAACUGCCACCAGGUGGCAGAACAAGAUGAGAAAACCGUGCCCCACGGAGUCCCUGAGCCCCUGCUGCUGCAGUUUUUGAGGACAUUUGGGUAGCAGGGAGGUCUCUUCUUCUCUGCACUGCAUGCACCCAGGAAAGGCCAUGUGACGUCUUAGCAAGAAGGAGGCAAACCAUGAGGAGAGCCUUCAGCAGAAACCAAAUCGGCCAGCACCUUGAUCUUGGACUUCCCAGCUGGCAGAACUGUGAGAAAAUAAAU